GUUCGGGCCCCCCUUGAGGGCCAGGAGUUGAUGAGCUCCAUGGAUCACUGCUCCCUUCCACGGAGAAGAACAUUCCAGCAGGAUGAGACAUUAUUAUCACUCCAUGUUGUGGAUGAGGAAACGAAGGCUGAGUCCGUUCGUACGACAGCAGAAACCUGCACUCAAGCUCUGGUCCGUUUGAAUCAAGAACUCUUGGCUUCCCCCAACUGCCUCCAUAACCACGUUAGACUGGUUGAAUCCCCAGCUCAACGCCCACCUGCCCCAUAAACCAGCAUGGUUAUAAA